rnacentral:rRNA from 1 species
AACGAACGCUGGCGGCAGGCCUAACACAUGCAAGUCGAGCGAGACCUUCGGGUCUAGCGGCGGACGGGUGAGUAACGCGUGGGAAUAUGCCCUUUGGUACGGAAUAGCCUCGGGAAACUGAGAGUAAUACCGUAUGUGCCCUUCGGGGGAAAGAUUUAUCGCCAAAGGAUUAGCCCGCGUUGGAUUAGGUAGUUGGUGGGGUAAUGGCCUACCAAGCCUACGAUCCAUAGCUGGUUUGAGAGGAUGAUCAGCCACACUGGGACUGAGACACGGCCCAGACUCCUACGGGAGGCAGCAGUGGGGAAUUUUAGACAAUGGGGGCAACCCUGAUCUAGCCAAGCCGCGUGAGUGAUGAAGGCCUUAGGGUUGUAAAGCUCUUUCAGCUGGGAAGAUAAUGACGGUACCAGCAGAAGAAGCCCCGGCUAACUCCGUGCCAGCCGCCGCGGUAA